rnacentral:rRNA from 1 species
UACAGGGGGGUGCAAACGUUGCUCGGAAUUAUUGGGCGUAAAGCGCGCGUAGGCGGCUACCUAAGUCGGAUGUGAAAGCCCCUGGCUUAACCGGGGAAGUGCACCCGAAACUGAGUAGCUAGAGUGCAAAAGAGGGUCGCGGAAUUCCCAGUGUAGAGGUGAAAUUCGUAGAUAUUGGGAGGAACACCGGUGGCGAAGGCGGCGACCUGGGUUGACACUGACGCUGAGGCGCGAAAGCGUGGGGAGCAAACAGG